UCUUCGGAGAGUUUGAUCCUGGCUCAGGAUGAACGCUGGCGGCGUGCCUAAUACAUGCAAGUCGAGC
rnacentral:rRNA from 2 species